rnacentral:rRNA from 1 species
AGGAUUCCCCUAGUAACUGCGAGUGAAGCGGGAAAAGCUCAAAUUUAAAAUCUGGUGGUCUUUGGCCAUCCGAGUUGUAAUUUAGAGAAGCGUCUUCCGCGCCAGACCGUGCAAAAGUCUCCUGGAAUGGAGCGUCGUAGAGGGUGAGAAUCCCGUCUUUGGCAUGGAUGCUUGGUGCUUCUGUGAUGCGCUCUCGAAGAGUCGAGUUGUUUGGGAAUGCAGCUCAAAAUGGGUGGUGAACUCCAUCUAAAGCUAAAUAUUGGCGAGAGACCGAUAGCGAACAAGUACCGUGAGGGAAAGAUGAAAAGCACUUUGGAAAGAGAGUGAAACAGUACGUGAAAUUGUUGAAAGGGAAACGCUUGAAGUCAGUCGCGUCGACCGAGACUCAGCCUUGCUUCGGCUCGGUGUUCUUCUCGGCUUGAUGGGCCAGCAUCACUUUCGCUCCUCGGAUAAUGGCAAGGGAAAGGUGGCACCCUUAUGGGUGUGUUAUAGUCUCCUGUCGCAUGCGAGGGGUGGGAUUGAGGAACUCAGCACGCGCCUCUUGGCGUCGGGGCUUCGGCCUACGUUACGUGCUUAGGAUGUUGGCGUAAUGGCUUUAAACGACCCGUCUUGAAACACGGACCAAGGAGUCUAACAUGCCCGCGAGUGUUUGGGUGGAAAACCCGUGCGCGUAAUGAAAGUAAAAGUUGGGACCUCUGUCGUGGAGGGCACCGACGCCCGGACCAGACCUUCUGUGACGGAUCUGCGGUAGAGCGUGCAUGUUGGGACCCGAAAGAUGGUGAACUAUGCCUGAAUAGGGUGAAGCCAGAGGAAACUCUGGUGGAGGCUCGUAGCGAUUCUGACGUGCAAAUCGAUCGUCAAAUUUGGGUAUAGGGGCGAAAGACUAAUCGAAC